rnacentral:rRNA from 1 species
GACGAACGCUGGCGGCGUGCCUAAUACAUGCAAGUAGAACGCUGAAGAGAGGAGCUUGCUCUUCUUGGAUGAGUUGCGAACGGGUGAGUAACGCGUAGGUAACCUGCCUGGUAGCGGGGGAUAACUAUUGGAAACGAUAGCUAAUACCGCAUAAAAUUGAUUAUUGCAUGAUAAUUAAUUGAAAGAUGCAAUUGCGUCACUACCAGAUGGACCUGCGUUGUAUUAGCUAGUUGGUGAGGUAACGGCUCACCAAGGCGACGAUACAUAGCCGACCUGAGAGGGUGAUCGGCCACACUGGGACUGAGACACGGCCCAGACUCCUACGGGAGGCAGCAGUAGGGAAUCUUCGGCAAUGGGGGGAACCCUGACCGAGCAACGCCGCGUGAGUGAAGAAGGUUUUCGGAUCGUAAAGCUCUGUUGUAAGAGAAGAACGGGUGUGAGAGGGAAAGUUCACACU